GCAGACAAGAGACUUGACAGCUGGUUUUCUGUACUGACCGUUGGAAGUUUUCUGAUCAUAGUGCCAAUUUCCUUGGCUAACCUAAUAUCGGCUUCUGCAAUUGUAGACGUUAUGAAAAUCUACGACGAAUCUAGGCGCAUAGACAUUGCUCUUAGGUUUGGCUACGCAUGCAAUUUAGAACAUCCAGUUUUUAAGUUUAUUCAAUAUAUUAUAAAUCGGAAAUGGUGGUUGAUGCUCCGGGAUGAUGUAAAAUAUAUUGCAAUGGACACUGGAAAAAACUUUGAAAUCACGCUUCACGUAAAUAACUCGAUUAAGCAGGAAACUUUGUGGCAAACAGACCGCCAAUUUGCCAAAAGAUUAGUUAAUGCUGCGUUUGCUAACAAAGUGCAGAAGAUCCCUCAAUCUGAGUCGAGAGUGUUGCGCAAAUCUUCUCGAUUUAAAGAGGAGAGGUUUUGGACAAGCUCACUUUGAAGAUGGUAGGCCACCCUUAUGCUCUUGCACUCUUGCAAAAGAUUUUCACACACGUUGCGUUCAAAAUUGCUACAUUGGUUGGACUAACGGCAUAUUUCCUUAGUUAAUGAUUAAUAUGAUGCUUUGUUAAUUAAGAUGAUAUAUUUUCAUUAUGCUGACUGCUAAUUUAAUGUUUUAAAAUGGUAAUAAUAAUUAUUUUUAAAUAAUUAUUAACUCCGCGAUAAACUCCGCAAUGUGUUCUCUUAUUGAUUAUAAAAAUUAUUAUUACUUUGUUUUCAAUACAACUUAGCCCACACCAUAUACUCAAAACGUCAAGCUUUGUGGCACUCCUUCUUAAAAACUGCAACAGCAACUAACGUUUAUUAUGAAUCAUAUUAAUGACUUCGCUGGUGAUGAAGUCAUUUCACAUCUAAAAGAACGACUUUAUCGCUUUUAUAUUACAAGAGAAUUGCAUCAUCAUAUCAUCUGUCAGCAGUCGUGAUCGACACAUGACAAAACACCGGCUCGUGCUGUCGUUGUGCCUUAGAACCACACUACAACUCUUCACAUUGCCCGAGCGCGUUAUAAUAAUAAUGAAACAGUUGCAUUGAUAGUUGAUAAAACAGGAAAUCUUCACUAGCAAACGGAAAAGAUGUGCUUGAGAACAUAAGUUCUCAGAGAUCAGAGAACAUCAUCAAAGAGUGAUGUGAGAAUUAACUUCACAAACGCGAACUAUGAUUGUUUUUUAUUCAGGAGGAACGGUCUAAAAAGUCCGUAUUGCUUGAACUAUGAUUGCAAAGCGGAAUAAUUUCGUGCAAUUGUGAUCAGGUACUGUACCCUUCAAAAUGUUAGAAUGUGAAUGUGUAGCAUGUUUUCAUUGGCAUUUACUUUACCAACUUUCCAUGCAAUACAACAUAAAUAUGUAUUACA